rnacentral:rRNA from 1 species
GAUGAACGCUGGCGGCGUGCUUAACACAUGCAAGUCGAACGAAGCACUUUAUUUGAUUUCCUUCGGGACUGAUUAUUUUGUGACUGAGUGGCGGACGGGUGAGUAACGCGUGGGUAACCUGCCUUGUACAGGGGGAUAACAGUUGGAAACGGCUGCUAAUACCGCAUAAGCGCACAGCAUCGCAUGAUGCAGUGUGAAAAACUCCGGUGGUAUAAGAUGGACCCGCGUUGGAUUAGCUAGUUGGUGAGGUAACGGCCCACCAAGGCGACGAUCCAUAGCCGACCUGAGAGGGUGACCGGCCACAGUGGGACUGAGACACGGCCCAAACUCCUACGGGAGGCAGCAGUGGGGAAUAUUGCACAAGGGGCGAAAGCCUGAUGCAGCGACGCCGCGUGAGCGAAGAAGUAUUUCGGUAUGUAAAGCUCUAUCAGCAGGGAAGAUAAUGACGGUACCUGACGAAGAAGCACCGGCUAAAUACGUG